CAUAUGCGGUUUCGGCCGUGUAUAAUGAUAGUCUGUGGAAGGCUCAUUAUAACAGUUAUACUCCUAGCCACUGGAAAGUUUACAAGGAUACCACCGUUAACUGCAGCGAUAAUACUUGUUCCCUUCGGGGUGGUAAUAGUAUUUGUGCUGAAGCCUAGCUAUUGUAACCUAGUUUUUCGGGUGUGGCAACAUAUUCGGGGGAUUAGGAAUCGACCGCUAGCAGGUGCCUUCGGGCGCGGGAAAGUGAAUUAACAAGGUUUUCAUAAGGCCUUUCAGGUUUGCUUUUUCUAGUGGCCAGGCAGAGGAGUUUCUUACCUAUCAGCUCGUUGUUUGUUUAAAGGACAAACCAGGCUUUGACGGGUACGGGGAAUCAGUGUUCGAUUCCGGAGAGGGAGCCUGAGAAAUCGCUACCACAUCUAAGGACGGCAGCAGGCGCGCAAAUUACCCAAUC
rnacentral:rRNA from 1 species